UACGAAGGGUGCAAACGUUGCUCGGAAUUAUUGGGCGUAAAGCGCACGUUAGGCGGUUUCGUUAAGUCGGAUGUGAAAGCCCUCGGCUCAACUUGAGGAAGUGCACCCGAAACUGGCGAGCUUGAGUACGAAAGAGGAUCGCGGAAUUCCCGGUGUAGAGGUGAAAUGCGCAGAGUAUCAGGAGGAACACCGGUGGCGAAGGCGGGUCUCUGGGCCGAUACUGACGCUGAGGAGCGAAAGCGUGGGGAGCGAACAGG
rnacentral:rRNA from 1 species